AGUUUGGUAUGUUUCCCACAUGAUGUCACCGAAAUAAACAGGCGCAUCUUCGAAAUUCAGUCAUGGAGGCAGCAGAGAGGGGACAGCAGCAGAAAUGGCAAGAGGGCUCAGGCGGUGAGUUCAGGCCAGCAGGUCUGUAGGACUUGCCUGGGCGGAAAGGUGCCCCUUAGUCGGUAGGUAUUGAAGGUACUAGGGAUCAGAGGGAAAAAACGAGAAAUCCCAAGCGUGGGGUGGUGUGCCCUCGGGUCUGUGGAUCACACCGAAAGUCUAACUUCUCUGCCAGUGGGGCAGAGAACUGAGCGAGCUGCAGGAAUUUGGGGCGGAUCCGGGUGGGGAUGCGAAGGGCAACGGAAACAGGAAGUGAGGGGCAGAGAGUCUGAAGGUGGGGGCAGAGGGAGAAUCAGUUACUCCGGGGGAGGCGAGUCCGAACCCCGCACUACACCUGACGCGGAGCGCAGCGGAGCACCACUGUACCUCCGAACGCGGGUUGGGGCCCAGUCCGCCUGUGCAACUCGAGGCCGGGAGCCAGCAACUGCCUCACUUGAGGUCCCCACCGCUCUGCUCUUGGCCACAGCCCGGCAGGAACAGAACUACACCUCCCCUGCGGCCCUCCCUCCACUCAGCCCGCGGCUAGGCUGGCACUGGCUUGCGCACUCCUGGGAAUUGUAGUCCCUGGCCCUGGCCGCCUUCUUUGGGAGGCGGCCGGGAUGUCCAGCAGGGAGGUCCUCGCAGCCCUCUCCACGACCCCUCCCUCUUGUCUUUCCAGCUAUAGACACCAGCUUCUUGUAGUGAUGAGGAAUUACUCUGCUUCCGAACAUCACGGUCCCACUGGCGGCUACAAACGUGCCUUACUCUCGAGUCACUUUCCUACAUUCCCUUUGGUAUUGAAACCUUGGAUUCCAGGCUGGGCGAUCCAGCUUUUAGGGGGCAGCUGAGAUCUGACUUGAGAUGCCGCUCAGCUCUUCACCCUGUCUCUUUCAGCUUCACAGACUGUGCCCCACUAUUUUCAUACAUAUCUGUUGACUUGGGGUUCAGAAAAUUGGGAUUUACACACCGUGAAUAACCGUUGGCAUUUCCUCCCCAUUUCCAAGGCUGAUUUCCACAUGAUUUCCAGGCUUGUCUCCCCAGUCUUUUUGUUUUGUUUUGGUUUUCCCCUUCUAGUACACCCCUAAUAAACAGAGACACAGAACUGCAGGUUUCAAAGAGGAGAAGAAGCAAAUUUGUUGUUGUUGGUAGGAGGGCAUGAAGGGGAAGGUUCUUCACCUUCCCCAACAUCUUGUGUAGAUGGGAGGCUGCGGGUGGGGGGGGGAGCAAUAGAAAAG